GCCUGGGUGGCUCAGUCGGUUAAGCAACCGACUUCGGCUCAGGUCACGAUCUCACAGUUUGUGGGUUCGAGCCCCACGUCGGGCU
rnacentral:tRNA from 1 species